GAUGAACGCUGGCGGCGUGCUUAACACAUGCAAGUCGAACGGAAAGGCCCAAGCUUGCUUGGGUACUCGAGUGGCGAACGGGUGAGUAACACGUGGGUGAUCUGCCCUUCACUUCGGGAUAAGCCUGGGAAACUGGGUCUAAUACCGGAUAGGACCACAUUUUGGAUGGUGUGGUGGAAAGUUUUUCGGUGUGGGAUGAGCUCUCGGCCUAUCAGCUUGUUGGUGGGGUAAUGGCCUACCAAGGCGUCGACGGGUGGCCGGCCUGAGAGGGUGUACGGCCACAUUGCGACUGAGAAACGGCCCAGAGUCCUACCGGGGGCAGCAGGGGGGAAUAUUGGACAAUGGGCGCAAGCCUGAUGCAGAGACGCCGCGUGGGGGAUGACGGCCUUCGGGUUGUAAACUCCUUUCGCUAGGGACGAAGCGUGUUUGUGACGGUACCUGGAGAAGAAGCACCGGCUAACUACGUG
rnacentral:rRNA from 1 species